AGACCUGGAGAUAAUUAAAAAAAAGAUUUACUGCUUAUUUCUGGUAUUCAAUAAAAAAUUUGUACAAGUGUAAGAAUUUCAAUUACGCAUAGUAAAGUGGUGGAAAUGAAUGUGGAGAACCUACAUCAAAGUUACUUUCAUCAGACCAAACAACUUUACACCAAUCAUCAUCAGUCCAAUCUUCAUGCUCUUUUACCCCAAACAAUUGCUUUUUUUUCAUGUUCACCUCACACAGCAACAGCUUCUUUCUGGCCCUACUUCCUUUGAGCCCGGCUUCUAAUAACCUUCUUCUCACUGUGCAAGUUGAUAUAUCCUUGUUUGUUGCUACCCAAAACUCAGCAGCUAUGUCAGAAGAGGUAUUUUUCCUAUCUGCCAGAGAUGUCCUCUUCAGCAACCUGUCUUCCCUCAUGGUUGUACACCUUUGCAACCUUGUCCUUUACAGUUUUUGAAAGAAUUGGUCUCAUUGUACCUUUUGAGGGACCUUUUCUUGAGCAUUUCAGUUGUCUUGCAAUUUCAACUUGUGUGAAUCCUUCACUGGGUAAUGCAAUGAUUUGAGUCCUUUCAGCUUCAGAAAUCUAUUUCUUCGGAUACAUUUUCAACAAAUAUUAACCACUGAUAAUUUAUCAAUGAGAUAUUCACUGAAAAAAUGAUGGCAAAAAAUGUUUCUGUCACACAAUGAUUGGCAGAAAAUUGACCCAGC